GACGAACGCUGGCGGCGCGCCUAAUACAUGCAAGUAGAACGCUGAAGAGAGGAGCUUGCUCUUCUUGGAUGAGUUGCGAACGGGUGAGUAACGCGUAGGUAACCUGCCUUGUAGCGGGGGAUAACUAUUGGAAACGAUAGCUAAUACCGCAUAACAAUGGAUGACACAUGUCAUUUAUUUGAAAGGGGCAAUUGCUCCACUACAAGAUGGACCUGCGUUGUAUUAGCUAGUAGGUGAGGUAACGGCUCACCUAGGCGACGAUACAUAGCCGACCUGAGAGGGUGAUCGGCCACACUGGGACUGAGACACGGCCCAGACUCCUACGGGAGGCAGCAGUAGGGAAUCUUCGGCAAUGGGGGCAACCCUGACCGAGCAACGCCGCGUGAGUGAAGAAGGUUUUCGGAUCGUAAAGCUCUGUUGUAAGUCAAGAACGAGUGUGAGAGUGGAAAGUUCACACUGUGACGGUAGCUUACCAGAAAGGGACGGCUAACUACGUGCCAGCAGCCGCGGUAAUACGUAGGUCCCGAGCGUUGUCCGGAUUUAUUGGGCGUAAAGCGAGCGCAGGCGGUUUGAUAAGUCUGAAGUUAAAGGCUGUGGCUCAACCAUAGUUCGCUUUGGAAACUGUCAAACUUGAGUGCAGAAGGGGAGAGUGGAAUUCCAUGUGUAGCGGUGAAAUGCGUAGAUAUAUGGAGGAACACCGGUGGCGAAAGCGGCUCUCUGGUCUGUAACUGACGCUGAGGCUCGAAAGCGUGGGGAGCGAACAGGAUUAGAUACCCUGGUAGUCCACGCCGUAAACGAUGAGUGCUAGGUGUUGGGUCCUUUCCGGGAUUCAGUGCCGCAGCUAACGCAUUAAGCACUCCGCCUGGGGAGUACGACCGCAAGGUUGAAACUCAAAGGAAUUGACGGGGGCCCGCGCAAGCGGUGGAGCAUGUGGUUUAAUUCGAAGCAACGCGAAGAACCUUACCAGGUCUUGACAUCCCGAUGCUAUUUCUAGAGAUAGAAAGUUACUUCGGUACAUCGGUGACAGGUGGUGCAUGGUUGUCGUCAGCUCGUGUCGUGAGAUGUUGGGUUAAGUCCCGCAACGAGCGCAACCCCUAUUGUUAGUUGCCAUCAUUCAGUUGGGCACUCUAGCGAGACUGCCGGUAAUAAACCGGAGGAAGGUGGGGAUGACGUCAAAUCAUCAUGCCCCUUAUGACCUGGGCUACACACGUGCUACAAUGGUUGGUACAACGAGUUGCGAGUCGGUGACGGCAAGCUAAUCUCUUAAAGCCAAUCUCAGUUCGGAUUGUAGGCUGCAACUCGCCUACAUGAAGUCGGAAUCGCUAGUAAUCGCGGAUCAGCACGCCGCGGUGAAUACGUUCCCGGGCCU
rnacentral:rRNA from 1 species